rnacentral:rRNA from 1 species
GACAGAGGUGCCAAGCGUUAGGCGGAAUCACUGGGCUUAAAGCGUGUGUAGGCGGAAUUGUAAGUACCUUGUGAAAUCCCACGGCUCAACCGUGGAACUGCUCGGUAUACUGCUUUUCUUGAGCCACUUAGGGGCUGUCGGAACAAACGGUGGAGCGGUGAAAUGCGUAGAUAUCGGGAGGAACACCAGUGGCGAAGGCGACUUCUUGGCCUGUUCUUGACGCUGAGGCGCGAAAGCUGGGGGAGCAAACGGG